rnacentral:Y_RNA from 1 species
GGCUGGUCUGAAGGCAGUGAGUUAUCGCAAUUGAUUGUUCACAGUCACCUACAGAUGGAACACCUCGUUCUACUCUUUCCCCCUUCUCACUGCUGCACUUGAAUUGUCUUUA